UUUGUAAUCUCAAAUCUCUGUUUUUUAAUCUCUAUAUUGUGUUAUUGAAAGUGCUUGAUUGAAACUCUUUAAUUACUUUAAUUGAAUUUUUUGAUUGAAACCCUUUAAUCUGUUUGAUUGAAAUUGUGUACACUUUUAUUUUGAUUAUUAUUUUGAAAGCAUUUCGAUGUGAAGCAACUUUUGGAGACAGAUUGGAGACUAAUUUCGCUGUUCUGACCUCGAAGAAUUCGUCAAAGAUAAAGAGCUUUUCUGCAUCGAAGAUCGAGAGGUCUUUGAUCGAGAGUAUUCCUUGGUGAAGUGGCUCCAGUAUUGAAAGCAACAGCCUCAAAUCUGGAUUUUUAGGUUUUUUCUUCUUUAAUUAUCUUCCUUCAAUUUCUGACUUUUUAGAACUUUCAAGGUGUAUGUAUUUAAAUUUCCGUUUUUUUUGGGAUUUUUGGUGCUUCAGAUUAGAGUUUGUCACCUUCUCAUCUCAUCUCACAGAUGAGAGAUCCACAUAUUCAC